rnacentral:rRNA from 1 species
AACGAACGCUGGCGGCAUGCCUAACACAUGCAAGUCGAACGAGACCUUCGGGUCUAGUGGCGCACGGGUGCGUAACGCGUGGGAACCUGCCCUUAGGUUCGGAAUAACUCCCCGAAAGGGGUGCUAAUACCGGAUAAUGUCUUCGGUCCAAAGAUUUAUCGCCUUUGGAUGGGCCCGCGUUGGAUUAGCUAGUUGGUAGGGUAAAAGCCUACCAAGGCGACGAUCCAUAGCUGGUCUGAGAGGAUGAUCAGCCACACUGGGACUGAGACACGGCCCAGACUCCUACGGGAGGCAGCAGUGGGGAAUAUUGGAAAAUGGGCGAAAGCAUGAUCCAGCAAUGCCGCGUGAGUGAUGAAGGCCUUAGGGUUGUAAAGCUCUUUUACCCGGGAUGAUAAUGACAGUACCGGGAGAAUAAGCGCCGGCUAACUCCGUG